GGGGAGAUGAUUCAGUAGUUAAGAACACUGGCUGCUCUUCCAGAGGACCUGGGUUCAAUUCCCAGUACCCACA
rnacentral:tRNA from 1 species